rnacentral:rRNA from 1 species
CCAAUAGCGUAUAUUAAAGUUGUUGCAGUUAAAAAGCUCGUAGUUGAAUUUUGGGAUCAGUACGCUAGUCGUACCUUCGGUACGUACUGGUGUCACUGAUUCCUCCCUUCUGAAGAACCGUCAUGCCAUUCAGUUGGUGUGGCAGGGAAUCAGGACUGUUACUUUGAAAAAAUUAGAGUGUUUAAAGCAGGCUCGCGCUU